rnacentral:rRNA from 1 species
CUGGCUCAGGACGAACGCUGGCGGCGUGCUUAACACAUGCAAGUCGAACGAGGAUAUGCCAGAGGAGAGCUUCGGCAGGAAUCAGGCAUAUUCGAGUGGCGGACGGGUGAGUAACGCGUGAGCAACCUGUCCCAGACAGGGGGAUAACACUUGGAAACAGGUGCUAAUACCGCAUAAGACCACGGUAUCACAUGGUAGUGGGGUAAAAGGAGCAAUCCGGUUUGGGGUGGGCUCGCGUCCGAUUAGAUAGUUGGUGAGGUAACGGCCCACCAAGUCGACGAUCGGUAGCCGACCUGAGAGGGUGAUCGGCCACAUUGGAACUGAGAGACGGUCCAAACUCCUAUGGGAGGCAGCAGUGGGGAAUAUUGGGCAAUGGGCGAAAGCCUGACCCAGCAACGCCGCGUGAGUGAAGAAGGCCUUCGGGUUGUAAAGCUCUGUUAUAGUUGACGAAGGAAGUGACGGUAGGCUAUAAGGAAGCCCCGGCUAACUACGUGCCAGCCGCCGC